CGCGCGAGCCGGCGUCGGUGGCUCAUUUUCUUCCGGACAAGUCAAGGAUUUCUGCUGUGGGCUUCGAUCUACCGAUUCCCCCGACAUGUCGACGGCUCUGGCUAGGGUAUUGCGCCAAGAAGGGCUCGGCUCGUACGGUGCUCCAGACGGCGGCGAUGCUGUUUUCUCUGGAUCCGGGGUGAGGGGUGAAGAACGGUUAAUCGAAGCGGCAGACGGCUAGUGAGUUCAGUGUUAGUCUCCGGGGAGUAGAGGCUCUCUCAGCUCUACGACCGCCGGUCUUUGUUUCUGGGAGACGGUGGCUCUGUUAGCACCGUCAUCGCCGGCUCCUGCUUCCGGAAGGCGGUAGCUCAGUUAGUAUCGCUCUUCUCGGCUUUGGUUUUUUCUUUUCGCUUCAGUCUUUGUAGUUGUAGUUUUUUUUUCUGGUCUUUCGUUCUCGGUGUUGUCGGAUUCUCAAGCUUCAAAGCUCUUCCGCCUCUUGAUCUCUCACCUGAAACGACUCGUGAAUGUCGGGGGUGUUGGGUCAAUGGUAGACGGUUCUCAUGAGACUACACAGAUCGUGUUUGAUGUGUGUUUGGCCCUGUCGGCAUGGGAUACGGAUGAGAUCGCGAUGGGAAUGAUGCUCUCCGAUGAAAGAUCCCAUGCGACGUGAAGUUAGCGCGGUGGUGAGUGGGGGUUGGGCUGCGCCGCCGUCGUUCGGUGUGGCGCGGAAAUUAGGGUUCCCUGACCUAGGGUUUGGGUGUGGGCUGAAGGCCCAGUUUGUUGGGGCUGAUGGCCUUUCGUUCUGGAUUUAGUUGGGCCGGUCUGUUUGGGCCGAUUGUAGUUUGGUUCUGUUUGGGCUUUGUCCCUUUUUAAUGAUAAUAUUUAGACGGGAAAAAAAAAAGAAUGGGGAAUUGGAAUGCAUAUACAUAUCAAUACUAAAAAUGAAAUUUAUAACUAUAAUAAUUUUUUGGCUAUGAUAUUCUUUGUAUAAUAUAUAUAAAGAGAAAAAAUGCAUUUCAUCCCACUGUUUCAUUCUCACUCUCACUUACAUCGUUGAUCUCAUUCUUCUGAAACUACUUUUUAUUUUUCAAAAUUUAUAUUGAUUUUUAUUCUCUUUUUUCUUUUCAUAAUCAUUUACAAGUUUUAUGAAAUUCUUGGAAAGUGAUACUUCACAUGUCGUGCAAUCAUCUGAUCAAACAACUGUAUCUGAUCAAUUUUCUUCGUAUCUUUGUUUGGAUUUACAAUUUUACUAAUUUCAAUAUAUAUGGAUUAAAAAACAGAGUAUGCGUAAAACUAUUGAAGAAAAUGAACAGUAUGCGUUGCGUUAUACUAUUCCAUUUGAUAAACAUAAAAUAGUACAAUGCAACAUUUAUUGUUACAUCAUCUCCACAUCUUAUCCUCCUCCUCCUCUUCCAUCACCAUCAGUUACUACAAAAGAUCCCACAUGUAACAUCGUCACGUUCAGUUGUUUCAUCACCACCACCAUCUUCUCCUUUUCCACCAUUGCCACCCGUAAUCUCCUUACCUCUUCCCAAUAUAUCUUCUUCUCUUCUUCCACUUGUCGUAGUAGUUUUUCUCCUCCAUUAUUCAUGGCAACACCCUUCAAUCCUUCUGCAAAUUGUAUUUUUUUUAUAAGUUUCAUGAUUCUUAACAUUCGUUUUUCACACUCAAAUUUAAUACUUUUUUGUUAUUCUAUUUGAAAAAUAGAAUAGAAAUCGAACGUUCUCCUUCUUUCUUCGUCUUCCUCCGCCCGUUCUCUUCUUUCUCCUCCUCCUCCUUUCUCCUCCUCCGAUCUCUUCCUACCUCGUUCUUCUCCUCCUCAUCCUUUUCCUCCAAAUAGUAUACAAUAUAUAGAUCGAUGUAUACUAUUUCUCUUCACAAAUAGUAUAGUUUUAUUUUUUGUUUUGCAUAUACACAAUAGACGUGCCGCUAAGGAGAAAAUGGUCCAACUUUGCUUAUAAUUAUCACAUCAAAGAGUAAACACUGUAAAAUGGCUAUAUUCUUCAUUUGUGAACCCCUUAUGAAUAUCCAGCAAAUUGACCCAUUUAGAAUCUUUAAACGAAAAAGUGUUUUAUGCAAACUACUUGAAAAAUGUUAUAUGAGAUUUUUAGAAUGAUGUAAAUGAAAUCGUUAGACAUGAAUUUUCAUAAAAUAAUUCAAAAUAGUGCAAAUAAAACUGCCUUAUAUGAAUUUCUAUAGUGUUAAGUAAAAUUAAUAUUCUAACAUUUUAUUCAUUUAGAUAGUAUUUUAACAAUAAUACAUGAUAAAAAAUUUAAUUUUGUAUAAUGAUACAGAAUUAAUAAGCUACAUUGGUAGGUUUGAUGGACCUUUCUAAUUCUAAUAAUAAUACCCUUUUUUGUCAACCAUUCUAAUAAUAAUAAUACUAUUAUCAACAAAUAUUUAGCUUCUCAUAAAUUUAGUAUAAAUAUGUAAAGUACUAUUUUAAUAAUAACGUGAUGAAUGGUUAUUUAAAAUUCUAUGAAUAUAAACCUUAUAAAGGCAAGAAAAUAAGCUAGCUCAUUGCAUAUUAUAUAUUUUGGGUGAUCAAAUGCUAAGAGCAUGAUUAUUGAAGGGUUCUAACCUAAUAUCAAACAAAAAAAAUAAACAGAAAAGUAGGAGAGAAAAAGAAGGAGAGCAUUUCGCAGGCGAGAUACUCAUAUCUAAUUUAUUGUCCACAUGUCAUUUUAAUACAGGCUGAUUUUUUUUAACAAUGAAAUUUAGUUAGAUAAUUUAGUUUGUUUAAAAAAUUAAUAUUCUGAAUUCUGAUGUUUUAAGAAACCCACUAGAUUUUGAUCCGCGUUUCAAAAGCGCAGCUAUUUUUUUGUUGAUCCUUUUGAUAAAUUUUUCUUGAAUUUAAUUUUUAUUAAAUAAAUAAUUUUUAAGUUGUUUUAUCAUAAUGUUAGAGUUUGAAGCAUCAUUUUUAUAUCCAACCCUAACUCAUGGUCGCAUCGGUACACUCGACGACCCAUAAUAUAAUCCAGUUCGCAUUUAUAAAAAAUAUGAUAAACCUAAUAACAUACCAAAAAUCUGCUAUUAACUCGUAACGAUACUGAUUGAUCUCAUAUAAACUCAGAAAAAAAUGAUUAAAUUUUUGAUUAAAUUUUUCAUAUAUUUAGAAAACUAAAAUUGAAUAAAUUUGUGAUUUCCUAGAUUUUGAUUAAAAUUUUAUUAUAUCAUUCGAAAAAAUGUUAACAGAAAAAAAACAAAUCUUAUUGAUAUAAUAGUAUUAGUUUAUUUUUGUUACAAAUAACUUAGUAUAAGUUUAUGUUUUCAUUUUUAGGUUUAAAAGGUAAUUUUAUAAUAUUUUUCUUUAAUUAUUUAUUAUGUUAAUUUUUAGGUAAAAUUUUAAUUUGGUUAUACAAAAUAUUCAAAGAAUAUUUUUUUAUGAUGGGUGAAAAUUAAAAUUACUGAUAUUCAAAUAUGUAUACGAUGUAUGGUUUAGGGUAUAGUAUUUUAGUUUAUAUUAGAAAAAAAUAGUUAUAUUGAAUAUAUGCAUAAUAUUUGAAUGAUUUAUUUUGAAUAUUGAUACAUAGUUUUUUGAAAAAUAAUUAGAUGUUAUUUUUAUUGUUAAUCUAUACCCUUUUAUUUCUUUUAGUUAUGAAUGAUUUUGAAUUGUAGAAAAAACAUAGAUAAGUUUUUAAUUAGUAUAAAAAUCUUAGUGCAUUUUUAGUAUGUUUACUUAGAGUACGUUUAGAAUAAAUAUUUAUUCUAUGUGAUUUGAUUCAAAAUUCGUAAUGAAUGAAUAUUAAAAUAACCACUCUUGUAUUUGGUAAGAUACCAUACUGACCUAUUAUUGUGGGGCAGAGUAUAAUUAAUUUGGUCAAUUUAUUGUUAGCUUAAAUAUAGUUAAAUCUCUAAAACCAAAAGAAUAUUAUGCUAUUAAUGAAUAUUAAAAUAAUCGCUCUUGUAUUUGGUAAGAUACCAUACUGACCUAUUAUUGUGGGGCAGAGUAUAAUUAAUUUGGUCGAUUUUAGUGUUAGCUUAAAUAUAGUUAAAUCUUCAAAACCAAAAGAAUAUUCUGCUAUUAAUGAAUGUUUUAUUCUCUAUUAAUAUUAUUGAUACUAUAUAAAAGAAGACAUGUUAAGUUUCUAACAAAUAGGUCCAACAACCUCUUAUAAGUAGAUUUUUUAGGAUUUUUCUCUUUUAAUAGUAUUGAUGUAAUUUCAUACAAAUGGUGCUGCUCCAAGUAAGUAUGUGACUUAUAUCUGAAAUCCGUUAUCCGAUCCAGGAUUUGCUCCGAUCCGAUCCAAAAAAUCAGAUAUUUAGGGGUCCGGAUCCGGAUCUUGAUUUUACGGAUUCAGCGGAUCCGGAUACGGAUCUGGAUAAUUAAAUAAAUCAUUUUAAUUAACUAGUUUUUAAUUUAAUUUUUAAUUUUUUUUAGAAAAUGAUCCGGAUCCGGAUAUCUCAAAAUAUUCUGGAUAUCCGAUCCGUCUCAGGGCUAGCUCUAAGUACUGAAACUUUUUUAAAAAAAUAAUGAAUAUCUAUAUAUAUAAAAAAAAUGUUUGCCUCUCUCCUGUGAUACCUCGUCACUAAGUCGAUCACUCUGGAUGCGACACUUGUCCUUCUCCUAAAUACUAUGCGUUUCAUUUACGUGAUUCCUUUGGGCUACACUUAACAAUUUCUGGGCUUUUAUAUUUUAAUCAUGAAACCCAUAGUGAGCGAUGAUUAUCGUCUUCUCCCAGAUCGAUACAAAAUUCUAGGGUUCAUGACUCUCAUGUUCUUCUUCCAUCUAUGGAAGCAACGAUGGAGAUUCGAGAUGCCAACAAUGGAGCUUCGAGAUGUUCAAUCGACGUGAAGUGUCGCUGUUUGAAUCUUCAAUCCCGGCGAAGAAAUCUGGAGACAUUACGCAAGUCCGUUAAAACCCACAACCAUGCUUAAGAAUAUAGAUAAACCUCACCUUUUUGACCCUAUCACACUGAAAUCAAAGGGUUAAGAAACUAACCUGCUCAGCACUAUGGAUCAAGACAGUUCAUUUUGUUUCUGUUGCAGUAGUGUCGACGCCCCCCCCAGCAAAUAGAGCAACCUGAAGAAAGUAUAAAAAGGGUUCGUGAACAUUCAGAUAUCGAAACCAAGAACGAAAUAAGCAUAAAGCUAUAAUUCCUAAGCGCAUAAAUUUGAUGAAAACAACUAAAACAUGGACAGCAAAGUACAAACAAAAGAAAACGAUCUCACCUUUGCUUUUACCAUUCGCUUUAUGCUCCCAACAGCAUCGCUUUCCAAGACCAUGCCACGGACAAUGCAAGAGUUGUGCAAUCCUCCUGCAAGAAGCUUGGCAACACGGACGUUACCCACAUUAAAAUUGGUUGGAUUCUUUGGGCAUACCUGAAUACAUGCCUGAAUAAAAAAAAACAAGAACAAGUAAUCAACUAAAAGCAAAACCUCCAAUAAACAUGAGUAACCAACCAACAAUGAAACAGAAACACUCACAUCAGCUACUAAGGAACAAAUAAUCUCCUCUUGACCAAACUGCUUGCUAGCAACAGCAGCUCUCAUUCUAGAAACAACUUCAUCUUUGCUAUGCACAUCCAUCCUCUCAGAACCACUCUCAACCAAUUCUUCAAGUACCUCAACAACCUGCAUUCAUACACUCCUUAAGCCAAAACAAAGCCACGAAUAGUGAUCCAGGUAAGUCACAAACCAAACAAACCUUAAUGAUUGCUUUGUUAUAUCCACUAAUGAUCUCACUCGGAUGCAACCCCAUCCUGAUAAGCUCCUCCGCAGUCCGUAUUCUGUAAAAGCUCUCCCGCAAAAGAGAUGGUGAGGGUAGCUCCAUCUCCGAUCUCUUCCUGCAGCGCCUUGGCUGCUAAAACAAGAAUCUUCGCAGCAGGGUGCUGAAUCUCGAGCUCAUUCACAAUGGUCGCAGCGUCGUUGGUUACAAAGAGCUUAUCUGAAUGGUUUAUAACCAUUUUGUUCAAUCUUAACAAACAAAGAAGGGCCUAUCAGAUUUACAUUACUCACUAAACCGUAAGCAGAUCAACCACUAUAGAUUCUAAUUAUAUCGGAGAAACAUACUCGCGGAUCCCGAUAAAAAUGAAUCAAGGAAGCGAUUAGCGAACCAUUGGGGCCGAGAGAAGUGCGGGUGAUGGUGGAGAGCUCCUUGCAAGCUUUGAUGUUUUUGAUGACGGCUUGGUGUCUGUAGCCUUCCUUGAGCAUCGAUUGGAUACCGUACAACUGCAUCUUCUCCAAUUGCGAUCUAUAAGCUUAGCUCUUCCCGUACUAAAGAUUAAAGAUCGAAGCUCUCUCUCUGUUAUAGUUUGUUGCUUUGUGAGAGUGUAAAAGUAUCUGGAAUGCCCUAGAAAGUAGAAACCUUUUGAAGUUUUGAAGUACUCUGUUUUCUCCGUAACAUUGGUUUGAAGACUCUUAAACAUCGUCGUUUUUAAAGCUUUAAGGGUAGAUUACAGUUUUAAACUCUGGGUAUCGAUCUGACAAUCUUUAGUUCCGCAGAAUGAAAUUAAGAUUAUACGGAAUUUUAGGGACCACGAGAGAGAAAUAUGUUUUCAACUACAAAAUACCUUUUGGUAGGAAUACACAAUACAUAUCAAUAUCCAUUUAACCAAAAUAAUCUAAUUCGAAAGUGAACCGUUUAGAAUAUUUAUACAUUAAAGUUUUUCAAUAUUAAUUAUCUCAUUGAUUGUUAGAAUUUGAAUUUCUCUAAUUAAUAAAAAAAAAUUAUUAAUAAACUAAGAAUCUUAUGAUUGCUCCAAUAUGAGCUUUGAAGGAAACAAGAACAAAUCAUGAGUUUUGUUAUAUCAGAUGAUGCGUCCUCCUUAUACAAGGAACAAAACACAAUAUAAUAUUGUUUAGAGAAAGCAUAGGAACCAACAUAUAUAAUGACGUUCUCAGAUAUCCUAAACCUGAAAGUAAAAAAAAAACAUAAUAGUGAACCUCAUCUAUUAUAUGGUAUUAUAAUAUUACAAAGGUAUUAUAUACACAGUCGGAGUUUUUGGAGCUUUUUCUUGGACACCAAUUCUAUUUAUAUCUCCACUCACAUUUAUUAAUUGAAAUAUUUUUAUAUAAAACUACAUAAAUGUUUUUAAAAGUAAGAGAUGUAUCAUGAAUAUUUUUUUCCAAAAAUAAAGAUUUUGUGUGUUUUCACUAACAUAAAUAUAUAUUUACAAACAUGUAAAUUUGGAAAAUGAAAUUACUUACAGUAACUUUACCCAAUUAGAUAAAAUAAUUUAGAAAAAAUCAUAUAAAACAUCCCAUAUUAAAAAUGGAGGUAUAUCAACAUUAAAAUACAACAAUUAUAGACGAGACGAUAUUAGUUUAUAUUGUUUACAUAAACAUAAACAUUUGACUGCGGCAGCAAAGCAUUUUCCAUAUCAUAAAGUGAUUGUUGCCACAAACAUAAAUCCGAAAAUGGUUGGAGAUAUUCUGUUGGUUCAUUCCGUAUAGUGUCAUAUUGUAACGGCCCGGUUCCUAGCCCAAAAAUUUAUUAAGGAGAGCCCGUUAAGACUGCAGCCCAUUAGGGUAAAUGACCUAGGGUUUCCUCCUUUUCCUAUAAAUGAAGCUGCCUCCUCUCACUUUUCUCUCAUUUCUGAAACUUGAGCGAAGCUCUGCAGAGAUUUAGAGAGACUAGGAAACCCUAGCCGUCAAGCUUCUUUUUUUCCUUUUCUCUCUUCUUCUCUCACGCCUCUCUUUCUCUCUCUCUCUCCGUGAUCUCUCUUCUCUCUCCUUGCCGCGAGCCCCCCCAAGAGCAAGCCGAGCCGCCAGUGGUGGUGGUGGUGGACGUCCAAGGGGUGGUGGGGUGAUCGUCCGAGUGUGGUGAUGGUGGUGGUUGUGUGGUGUUGUGGUGGUGACCAGAUCUCGUCUCUCUCUUGUUUACUUGUUCCAGAUCUGUUCAGAUCUCCUCUCCCUUGUCUUUUGUUCCCAGAUCCGGAUCCAGAUCUAGGCUAAGGUGGAGUGUCUUGAACCCAUCUUGUUCUCAUGUUCUGUAUACUCCUUUAUGUUGGAGUUAGGUUUGAUUAGACCCUGUUUGAGAGUUAGAUUGAUAGAACAUGAAUAUUGCUAGGAUGAUAGAUGAAUGGAUCAUGAUGCAUAAGAACCUUCAUACUGAUAAAUGGGACUUGAUGAACUGAAUUGAGUUGUUGUGGUGAUGAUUGAUUGGUAGUUGAUACUUGUAUGUUUAGAAGUGUUGUCCCAUGUGAUGUGAUUGAAGUUAGGAUGCUAGAGAUAAAUAAAUGUUAAGCUGAUAGAUGAGUAAUGAUUAUAGAAGUUAUUGAAGUAGAACUUGAAUGCGAUGUGUAUUGUGUGUGACACCGAUAACGGGUGGCGUCUAGUGAUUGAGUCAAAGUACAAGUAUGAAUGAAAAAGGAAAGUAAAUGAGAAUGGGAAGGGAUAAGUGAAAGUGAUAAGGAUGUGAAAUGAUAAGUAAAAGUAAGAAAGAAUGAUGUUACGGUUAAGCAUGGGUGGGAAAGCAUAUAGAGUCUAAGGAAAGUAUGUGGGGUAGUAGUUCACGCUAGGUAUCCAUAGGAGAUGUGGCCAAUCCACAUGAAUAUGGAAGCACCCAUAGGAGAUGUGGCCAAUCCACAAGAAUAUGGGGUAGAAGCCUAGUUGGGGCUACCCACUGAUGAAAAGGACGAAAAGAUGAAAAGGAUGUGCAUUGUAGGGUUUUAGCUCAUGGUCGGGUAACGGGGAGUUAAAGGAGUCAUAUGAUCGAGUCGGACUGGUAUGAGGAGACGGUUAAGUCUAGGGUUUAACGUGUGUGGCAAUGAGUGAGAUCAUUGUAUUGAUUGAUCACUAGGUUGCUAGAAAUGUAUGAAAUCGAAUGUUGGGAACUAAUGAUGAUGAUAUGAAAUGAUAAAAAUGCAUUAACUGAUUGUAGUGGCUAGUCAGCCCUAGUUCCCGCAUAGAGUAGUAUAGAGUGUCAUGCGGGCAGGCUGGUCUAGAGCCACUUCACUGAGUAACUUGUUGCUCACUCCUCCAUUUCCAUUUCCCUGUGCGCAGGACUGUAAGUAGAAGUAUAUGGAUGUGGGUGUGACGGUAUUUCAAAGAAGGUUAUGCGCUCGUCUCUCGGGACCAGUAACGGGACACAUAGGGUUGUCUAAAUGAGUAGACACGUGUCCAUAACGCCCCUUCGAUAACCCUGGUCGGACGCCGGGGGAUCGGGCUGUUACAAUUGGUAUCAGAGCGGGUUAAGAUCCCUUAGUUCCGUCCUAAGGGAUCAGCAUUUCCGACGUAAAAAAAAAAAAAAAAAAAAAAAAAAAAAAAAAAAAAAAAAAAACUUGUUUUCAUUAAAAGAAAAGAGUUUGUGAAAGUUUUGAUUCUCCUAAAAGAUCUGAAAACGAUUUCAAAACCACCCACUAUAUUUAUACUUCUAGUAUGGUUCUGAUCGGAUGUCUACUUGAAAGAUGUCUUCACAAUCAGUAACGACCAGAGAGACAUGAAUGUAAGAGAAUACAAUAAGGAUGUAAUCCCCCGAGGAGAUUUGUCGGGCACCCUCUAAGGGAGAGAGAACUGACUCACCGCUUCCUGAAGGAAAUGAAAACCGAUUUGAAGAAUAGUUGUGACGUGCAAGAUUACUGGGAUCAUGAGCUAAUCAAGAUUACGUGCAGAGUUAUAGUUUUGGUUGUAAGAAGAUCAUAGGCUAACCAAGCAUCACAUACUCACAGUCCAAGGAGAACUUACGACAUCACCAUUAACACAAGGCGGUUUAUUGUGACAAGAGUGGAAGUGCGAGAAGAACCACACUAAGAGAAAAUGGAUGGGAGCGUACUACUAGUACAACCAGUAAGGUUAUUGAUAGACCGCGGUCCACGGAUCAGUACAUGGAGCCGAACCAGCAUGAAGAUCAGGACGUUCUGAAGUUUUCAACCGAGGUUCAUGAUUUUCACCAUACUGGCCAGACUGACCGGACUGUCCCAAAUGCAUCCGGAUGGGAGCUUUGGCUGGAACCAUGGCCAGAUGAUCGAUUUCACUGUACUGGACUUUGUCUUCACUGUCCUGUUUUCCAUUUGAUGAAGAACAGUCGAGACGGAAUCGCAUUCGGACGCACCAUUCUUCUCCAGUCCAUCGCAACUCAAUUCUGUACUGUACCGCACGUACUGCCCGUUCGACCAGUUUGAGGCUUCAUCAAUACCCAUGUCCAGACGAUCGAAUUCACCGAACUGGAGCUCGUAAUUCCCGUACUGAUUGGCAUUUUAAGAGCAACGGUCAAGACAGAUUUGGAUUCGGACGAGUGGAACUCAAGAUAGGCCGUGACACUUCAAAACUGGCUACUUUGGACUGUCCUGCUUGUGUACUGGCCCAGUCCGCAGGACAUGCUUCAGGAUACAAUGAACCUGGACAGAAUUUGAAGGGUAUUUCGCCAGUCAAAGUGUGAUUUCGUGCCUUGACCAGAUCUGGUCAAUUUUAUCAUUUUCUAUGUUUAGAUUUCCCACAAAUGUCUUUAUGUUUCUUUGACUCACAAACCUUAUAAGUAUGUGAUGAUCCCCCUUAAUAAGAUAAUCGAUUUUUCUUUCAUUUUAUGAGUUUAUUCUCUUUGUUCUUUGCUUAGAACAUUUCUUAGUUUCUUUGGUGUGGUUAGCUCCAAACAAACACCUCUUUCUUGUUGGACCGGUGCGUCACAUCCGGCAACAGAUCGAGAUUGUCUCUCCAACGGACCUGUGAGUCAUAUCAGGCGUUGAAAGACACUUAGACAGUAUCAUUGGGUCAUUCCGCAGCCCCUUGUGUCGUCAUUCAUCCCACCAGUUCUCCUUUCGGAGUUCAUAUCCCCCUUACCGGUUGAGUAGCGUUUCCUAGGGUUUUUCAAGUGGUAUCAGAGCCACUCUUCCGGUAACUCUAUUAUCAUUCCAUCUUCUCAUCUCUCCAUCUUCUUCAAACACUUCUUCUUCUACCUUUCUUAAAUCCGGGCCCCUCAUUACCAUCCAUAUAAAAAAAAAAAAAGAA